CAAAUUAAUCACUGCAUCAGGGUAAUUACUUUAGGAGUUGUCAUCUUGUCUCUGUGAAGCACUGAGCCCAUCGUUAAGACACCGUUAGAUAUUGUGAUAUUUCCCAUUACGAAUGAUCUGUUUCCGUUUGUCUUUGGUGCUGUCUAGACUGGGAAGAUACAAGCAGGGCAAAGAAGGGAGGAGCAUUGGGUGGAAAGAAAUGGCAGGGGUUCUCUUCAAAACUCUUCCUAUAAAACAACUGCUGUUCAUGUUGCGCACAGUAAGCCACAGAUGUCUAACUACAGCCAUUCAUGACCCCCUUAUACACCAGGGAAACAACUCAUGUUUGCCUUUUUCUUGGUGAAGCUGGUGGACUUCUGAUGGACUGGCUUCACUGGACUUCUGAAGCUUCGGUGGAAGGACUUCUGAGCUGUGUUAGCCACUCAUUACAUGCAAAUAAAGUAAAGUGCAGGGAAAUGUAAGCUGAGAGAAGUGGUUAGCAUAAAUGCAGCAAAGGCAACAUCCAUUGUUCAACUGAUUCAAGGAAAAAAACUCUGUUAUGGAGUGCCUGAUGGGCUGAACUUGCAUUUGUCACAUUUCAUAUAGACAUCCAUGUCCAUCAAAAGCACUUUCCUGCCUUUGGAUCAUGAUCAACAUUUUAUUAAAAAAGAUGGAGGACUUUUUACAGCCAUCUGGAAUAUUGCUAUUGUAUGACUGGCUUCAGUUCUUUUAGAGGAAAAUAAAUGGACAAAAUGAAUUCUUGGUGGGAAGUAAUGGGACACAUGUGCUACAGAGGGCUUGAAACUGAUGCCUCUGAAUGGGGUGUUUGAACCUCAAAUUUAGCACAGAUGAUUGCUGGGACUCUGAAGAGGACAUGGGGAAGAACAUGGUGGAGAAUCUGGACUGGAAAGAUGGUCAUCUUUCCAAAAGCUUGCUGCUGUUUCCUUUAAAACAAGCAAACCAAACUAACCCCCCCACCCCCAAAUGUUUCAGAGCAUUGAGAUACCUCAACUGUAUCAUGGUUCCUUUUCAACUGUUAAGGAAGGAUUCCAUCUUCACUGACGUCACUGAGCUAAUCAAAAUUACUGAAAGGAAAUGAGCUGCCUCCUUUGAGUUCUUCAUUCUUAUGAAUUAAAUACUACAGAAUUUCAAGUAUAUGGAACAGCCAGCUAAGUAUUGAGUACUACCUUGCACAAUUUAGGCAAAGCAAUGCUUUCUUUAUGAGUAAUAAAUUGCAUACAAACGGCACACUAACAUGUCAUUUCCAUUUUGUAACCAUCAGUAAAUGUGAUCAGUUUAAAGC